rnacentral:rRNA from 1 species
AGAGUUUGAUCCUGGCUCAGAUUGAACGCUGGCGGCAGGCCUAACACAUGCAAGUCGAGCGGAUGAGGGGAGCUUGCUCCCUGAUUUAGCGGCGGACGGGUGAGUAAUGCCUAGGAAUCUGCCUGGUAGUGGGGGAUAACGUUCCGAAAGGAACGCUAAUACCGCAUACGUCCUACGGGAGAAAGCAGGGGACCUUCGGGCCUUGCGCUAUCAGAUGAGCCUAGGUCGGAUUAGCUAGUUGGUGAGGUAAUGGCUCACCAAGGCGACGAUCCGUAACUGGUCUGAGAGGAUGAUCAGUCACACUGGAACUGAGACACGGUCCAGACUCCUACGGGAGGCAGCAGUGGGGAAUAUUGGACAAUGGGCGAAAGCCUGAUCCAGCCAUGCCGCGUGUGUGAAGAAGGUCUUCGGAUUGUAAAGCACUUUAAGUUGGGAGGAAGGGCUGCUGGUUAAUACCCUGCAGUUUUGACGUUACCAACAGAAUAAGCACCGGCUAACUCCGUGCCAGCAGCCGCGGUAAUACGAAGGGUGCAAGCGUUAAUCGGAAUUACUGGGCGUAAAGCGCGCGUAGGUGGUUUUGUAAGUUGGAGGUGAAAUCCCCGGGCUCAACCUGGGAACUGCCUCCAAAACUGCAUGACUAGAGUACGGUAGAGGGUGGUGGAAUUUCCUGUGUAGCGGUGAAAUGCGUAGAUAUAGGAAGGAGCACCAGUGGCGAAGGCGACCACCUGGACUGAUACUGACACUGAGGUGCGAAAGCGUGGGGAGCAAACAGGAUUAGA